rnacentral:rRNA from 1 species
UACAGAGACUGCAAGCGUUAUUCGGAUUCACUGGGCGUAAAGGGUGUGUAGGCGGACUAUUAAGUCAGUGGUGAAAUCCCGAGGCUCAACCUCGGAACUGCCUUUGAUACUAUUAGUCUUGAAUGUUGUUGAGGUGGGCGGAACGGGUCAUGUAGCGGUGAAAUGCAUAGAUAUGACCCGGAACACCGAUUGCGAAGGCAGCCCGCUAAGCAACUAUUGACGCUGAGGCACGAAAGCGAUGGG